rnacentral:rRNA from 1 species
GACGAACGCUGGCGGCGUGGAUUAGGCAUGCAAGUCGAACGGUAUCAUCCUUUCGGGGGUGAGAGAGUGGCGAACUGGUGAGUAACACGUAGGUUAUCUACCCUCAAGACGGGGACAACCCAGGGAAACUUGGGCUAAUACCGGAUGUGAGCAACUUUUAGUUGUUUGAAAGGUGGCGUAAGCUGUCGCUUGGGGAUGAGCCUGCGUCCUAUUAGUUAGUUGGUGAGGUAACGGCUCACCUAGGCAAUGAUAGGUAGGCGGCCUUAACGGGUGGUCGCCCACACUGGGAUUGAGAUACGGCCCAGACUCCUACGGGAGGCAGCAGUCGAGAAUAGUCUACAAUGGUCGGAAGACUGAUAGUGCGACGCCGCGUGAACGAUGAAUCCCUUCGGGGUGUAAAGUUCUUUUAUAUGUGAGCAGUGCUUCUUAUAUUAACAGUAUGGGGAGAGAGCUAUUAGCAUAUGAAUAAGCAACGGCUAACUCCGUGCCAGCAGCCGCGGUAAACACUA